CUGAACAUUAUGUGGACCAUAUAGAACAAUUUGGUGUUGGAGGAUAACUUUCACUUUGGAUGUCUGGGUUUGGGUCUAACUACACCAUACUAAUAAUAUUUAGGGAUAAAAAGGCAACCAAAGUUCAAAAUUUAUUUCUUUUUGAAAUGAAUGUCGAAAUAAAUGUCGACUCAAUUCAAGUUCUCUGUUUAACCCAGGUAUGACAAUACCAAAAGGCACCGCUGGGAAAAUAUUCCAAUUUGCGGUUCAGAGUACCUGUAUGAAUCGAGUAUUUGUACUCUAAUACAGAGUAUGGCAUUAUUGAAAAUAGAAAAUCUACGGCUUCGUUUUGAUUUAAAUUUGUCUCCUACCAUCCUCGAUAGUAUUAUUUCUAGGUCUACCCGUUGUCAAGGAGGCUCUACAGAAAACAAAUUUACACCAACACGUCCGUAGUUUCUCGGUAUAAAAUAAAAAUAUUUAUACCGCAGUAUGGUUAGAACGCCCUCUAACGGGGAAUAAGUGAAAUGAAUGUCGACUCGAUUCAAGUUCUCUGUUUAACUGACAUGAUAGGUAGAGAAAUUGGAGAGAACUUACAGACCAAGACUGGAUAUACAAUACCGAAAGAUUGUAACGUCCACAUUUUUAUAUUCGAUUUGCACCGACGACCGGAAUUUUGGGAAGACCCCUUGAAAUUUGAUCCUGAUAGAUUUUUGCCGGAAAAUUGCACAGGCAGACAUCCAUUUGCUUAUAUACCUUUCAGUGCCGGCCAUCGAAAUUGCAUAGG